rnacentral:rRNA from 1 species
UACGUAGGGUCCGAGCGUUGUCCGGAAUUACUGGGCGUAAAGCGCGCGCAGGCGGCCCGCGAGGUGUCACGUGAAAGCCCCGGGCUCAACCCGGGAGGGUCGUGGCAAACCGGCGGGCUUGAGGCCGGUAGAGGUGGGUGGAACUCCUGGUGGAGUGGUGAAAUGCGUAGAGAUCAGGAAGAACACCCGUGGCGAAGGCGGCCCACUGGGCCGGUACUGACGCUGAGGAGCGAAAGCGUAGGGAGCAAACAGG